UCCCGAGGUUUGGACCAGGUCACCCAGCCCAGUCAGGAAGAUCCAGCAGUGAACAACCUUGGCCUCCCCUUCAGCAGCUUUGACCACUCUAAAGCCCCCUGCUAUGGCUAUGAUGAGCAGCUGAGCCUGUGCCCAGAGUGGCUGAGUUCUGGCAAAGACAAGAAUAAAAGCAUCCUGCAGAACAAGUAUGUCCGAUGUUCUGUUGGAACUGAGGUCUGCCAUCUCUGGAUGGUCCUGUGUCACCGUUUGAUGCUAAAUCCUCAGCAUGUGCAGCUCCUUUUUGACAAUGAAGUUCUCCCUGAUCACAUGACAAUGAAGCAGCUAUGGCUCUCCACUGGUUCGACAAGCUAUCCCCUUUGCUUUUACAAUACAGUGUGAAAGAGAAGAGGA
rnacentral:lncRNA from 1 species